AAAAGCUGUUAGGGGUGCCCUCCUAAUUCCGAGGCGCUGAGAUCACACCCUUGAACCUGAACUGGAUAAUGCCAGCGUAGGAAGACGGGCAGAAUAAUUA
rnacentral:ncRNA from 2 species